UGCAAGUCGUACGAGAGUUUUUAACUCAAGUGGCGGACGGGUGAGUAACACGUAAGAAUUUGCCUUUAGGAGGGGGACAACAACUGGAAACGGUUGCUAAUACCCCAUAUGCUUUCGAGUGAAAGGGUUUUUCCGCCUAGAGAGAAGCUUGCGGCUGAUUAGCUUGUUGGUAAGGUAAUGGCUUACCAAGGCGACGAUCAGUAUCUGGUUUGAGAGGACGAUCAGACACACUGGAACUGAGACACGGUCCAGACUCCUACGGGAGGCAGCAGUGGGGAAUUUUCCGCAAUGGGCGAAAGCCUGACGGAGCAAUACCGCGUGAGGGAUGAAUGCCUAUGGGUUGUAAACCUCUUUUUUCAGGGAGGAACAAAAUGACGUGUACCUGAAGAAUAAGCAUCGGCUAACUCCGUGCCAGCAGCCGCGGUAAGACGGAGGAUGCAAGUGUUAUCCGGAAUCACUGGGCGUAAAGCGUCUGUAGGUGGUUUAAUAAGUCAACUGUUAAAUCUCGAGGCUCAACUUCGAAACCGCAGUCGAAACUAUUAGACUAGAGUAUAGUAGGGGUAAAGGGAAUUUCCAGUGGAGCGGUGAAAUGCGUAGAGAUUGGAAAGAACACCGAUGGCGAAGGCACUUUACUGGGCUAUUACUAACACUGAGAGACGAAAGCUAGGGUAGCAAAUGGGAUUAGAUACCCCAGUAGUCCUAGCUGUAAAC
rnacentral:rRNA from 1 species